CGAGUUUUCCACGGGGGCGGGCAUCACUUCCCCGUCGAGGAAAACCAGCGCCGCCGCCUCCUCCGCCUCUGCCCCCGUCCUCAGCCUCCGCCUCCGCCUCCAGGAGCUGCCGCCACUCAUCCUCUGCAUCCGGGCGCCACCACCCCUCCGCCCCUUCAUCUCCGUCGGUCGCUCCGCCUCCGCCGCUCGGCCUCCCCGUCGCUGCGCCGCUCGAGUCCCCGUGCGGCUCGCGAGCACCUCCGCCUCCCGUGAGUCCCCGAGUCGAAGGCGCCGCCGUCGCUCCGCCCCUACGCGGCCCCGUCCAGGCCGCGCCGCCGCUCUGCCCUCCCCGUCCAGGUCGCGCCACCCCGUCCUGUCGCCGCGGGGCCCGCCUCCCCCAGCUGCCGGUCCUCCACCUCCCCGUCCAAUAUCCGGCGCCGCGCCGCCGUCCUCCGCCACCUCCGCCUCCCGUCCGAGAUCCGCAGCACCGCGUAGCUUCUUUUUCUCCUCCACCACGUCGGUUUCUGCUCCGCCGCCAAGAAGGUGUUCCUCUCCUCCUCCUGUCCUCGUGCUAAGGUUUGAAAAAUGUUUGUGUUUGCAUCAAGGAGGUUGAUCUCGCUACUUCACCUGCAGAUGAGGUUUGUGCUGUAAAGUGCAUUACUGCCUGUUUGUGGAGUUGCUGUCCAAAGCUGCAAGUGCACGGAGGGACAACAAUUGCAAUGACCAUUUUCUUCUUGAGCCUUCUGUUAAAUAUUUUUAUUUGUUAUGUUUGAUGUCAGUGUCAAGACAUCCUGUGCUGUCUCUCUUCCAGUUCUUAGACAUGGAUCGACAAAUCUUUGUCCUAAAUUAGUAGCUUCUGUAGGGCGUUGCUUCAAAUCAGGUGAUUUAAUGGCUUCAAUUGGGAAACUGGUUCCCCAGUGGUCUGGCCCAUUUGAUUUCAAAAAGCUUCAAUACCCAGGCUGGGAUUGGAGGGCCCCUUGUUGAUGCUAAAGGGAACUAUAUUGGCAUGAACUUCUAUGACCCAAAAGUGGGCGACCCAGCCCUGUUUUGUGAUGAUAUUGUUGAUGUCCUGGAUCGUUUUAAGAAUGGAGACUAGCCGGAGCUUCAUUGUUAGUUUUUGCAAAUAAACAAGACAUACAGGGAGCUCUAAAACCAGCUGAAAUUGCUAAGGCUGAAGCAAUGAGGAAGAUAUUAGGUUUAGAUUCUAAGAAGAAAAAGGAAGAGAAAAAGCUUAAAGAAUGGGAAGAGAAGGAAAAACAAGCAAGGUAGAAGAAGUGUGCAGCUAUCCACCUCCAAAGGAGAAGUGUGCAGGCCCAAAUUGCAAUGAAACAUGCUUUCUUGUAGUUCGAGCUAUAUCCUUCAACAUCAAAUUGACGGUGUGUGCUAGACAAGGUGUCCAAGCAAUGUGUUCAUACACCUCUCUUAGUUCCUUGCAUGUUUUUUUGUAGUUUGAGCCGUUGUCGGCGACUACAUGCAUGACAUGCUCCGGUCCAAUCUCCACCACCUUUCGAAUCUCCUGUCAACAUAGAAAGAAUCUUUAGUAACCUUCAAAACAUACUCAAUGUGAAUGUAACAUGUUUAGGGGCUACCUUGAGCAAAUAUGCAGCAUCUUGAGUUCUUCCACUCGCAUCAAUAGACUUGUGGAACCACAUGACCCCAUUGCAAUAUAUCAAAAAUUUGAUGACA